AGUGAACGCUGGCGGUAGGCCCAACACAUGCAAGUCGAACGGAAGCACAGUAAGAGCUUGCUCUUAAGGGUGGCGAGUGGCGGACGGGUGAGGAAUACAUCGGAAUCUAAUUUUUCGUGGGGGAUAACGUAGGGAAACUUACGCUAAUACCGCAUACGACCUACGGGUGAAAGCAGGGGAUCUUCGGACCUUGCGCGAUUGAAUGAGCCGACGCCGCAUUAGCUAGUUGGCGGGGUAACGGCCUACCAAGGCAACGAUGCGUAGCUGACCUGAGAGGAUGAUCGGCCACACUGGAACUGAGACACGGUCCAGACUCCUACGGGAGGCAGCAGUAGGGAAUAUUCCGCAAUGGGCGCAAGCCUGAUCGAGCCAUGCCGCGUGAGUGAUGAAGGUCUUCGGAUUGUAAAUCUCUUUUAUUGGGGAAGAACAGCUGUGGGUGUAACCCUGCCCGUUCUGACGGUACCUAAUGAGUAAGCACCGGCUAACUUCGUG
rnacentral:rRNA from 1 species